rnacentral:rRNA from 1 species
GAUGAACGCUGGCGGCGUGCUUAACACAUGCAAGUCGAACGGAAAGGCUCCUGCUUGCAGGGGUACUCGAGUGGCGAACGGGUGAGUAACACGUGGGUGAUCUGCCCUGCACUUCGGGAUAAGCCUGGGAAACUGGGUCUAAUACCGGAUAGGACCACAUUUUGGAUGGUGUGGUGGAAAGUUUUUCGGUGUGGGAUGAGCUCGCGGCCUAUCAGCUUGUUGGUGGGGUAAUGGCCUACCAAGGCGUCGACGGGUAGCCGGCCUGAGAGGGUGUACGGCCACAUUGGACCUGAGAUACGGCCCAGACUCCUACGGGAGGCAGCAGUGGGGAAUAUUGCACAAUGGGCGCAAGCCUGAUGCAGCGACGCCGCGUGGGGGAUGACGGCCUUCGGGUUGUAAACUCCUAUCGCUAGGGACGAAGCGUUUUUGUGACGGUACCUGGAGAAGAAGCACCGGCUAACUACGUG